UGCCCACCCGCCCGCUCCAGGUGCGCUGCCGGCUGCAGCAGCCGCUCCUCACCUUCCUCAUCCUCCCGCAGCCCCCGAGGGCUCCUCUGAGCCCGGAGAGCCCCUGCCUGAGCUCCUCCAGUGCCUGCCGGGCUCGGACAGAUGCACAAGUGAAGGUUCCCACUGGUCCCAUCAACUUGGAGCAUCCCCUGCAUGGGCCGGUCCCGUCCACUGGGCCUCUAUCCUCCCAGCUGCUCCACUGAGCCCUGCCAAAGAACCGCUUUUCAACCCCAAAAUCCUAUUCAAGCCCUGCUCUGUCCUCCUCCAUCCCCAGGCCCUCACUGUCCAUCUCCAUCCCUGUGUCCCAGCCGCGGCUCCAGGCGCUGGAGACAGGAGGGGGAGCUCUCAGCACGCUGCUCUGGACAAGAACAGUUCGCACAAACCGGGGAAGAGCAGAUCCGAGGCAACAGCAGAGAUUCGAGGCCACAGAACAAACGCCAUGUCCCACAGUGAUGCACUAAAAGCUGCACAUAGGAAUGAUUUCUGCAACCCGUGCUGGGACUCUGAAUUUUCCCCCAACACCACACACCUGCUUUAAGAUAUGUGCACAGAACCCUCCAUGCUGCAGCGCUUUCCUGUCUGCAACGUAGCAAUGCCAGCAUCUGCCUCCUGCCUGAGGGCAACGCUCAAGAGCAUGUUGGAACCCUUCACUUAAAGAGGAUCAGCAGGCAAAACGAAAAUGAAGCACCUCUGCUGUUCGGAUGGUCCAGCAGCCUAUAACUGAUGCACAACAUCUCACCACUCAAAACAAUGACUUUGGUAACAGUCCUGCAAAAAUCAGGUGUGUUUUGGGUACAUUUCACCUUGGAAAAAGCUCCUCUGGCCACGGACUCCAAAGAAGCACCAGGAUUCAGCGCUGAAUGGAGGGAUGCAGCACAGCACGCUUCUCAAGCGCAGCUCCAGCAUCCUCAGCUGGAAUGCUUUUCAACACAAACCAGUGCAUUUCUACAUUUCAGAAAUCACAGCUAGAAAUUAUCAUCAUGUGGAGUACGGCCCUUUUAAAUCACAGCUAACUUUUUCAAAAGGAAGCAUUUUUUCCAAAUUGAAGAUUUUCUACUUGAUAUUUACUGACUACAAGAAAUAUCAGGCAGUUACAGUCUCUAAGGACUGCAAACCAUCUUCUAAUUAUGAAAGUAUGUGCAAUCCUGUAAAUAAGGCUAGACUCAGCUUGGUCUGAAAAAAAAGGAGGCUUUAGAUAUCAUUUCAAACUAUUUAGUUACUGAAAUGGAAUUUUCUGUGCCUGCCAAAAUGAAUCCUAUUCAGUGUGAUGCAACAGGUGUUGGAAUUCCAGCAGCCGCCUGCAACCCACAUCUGGUAACCGUUAGGAGUUUAAAGGAAGUUCUGUAAGAACUGCUUAUGUAUAAAAACUAUUCAUCAGUCAAAUCUAUGGGCCAUAUUCACCCACCCGCUUGCACUGUGCAUAGUUCAGAUUUUUAUUUCGUUUACAAAAAACGUAAUUCUGCUUCUCAUGAAAUGUCAGGAAUCUCAGGCGCUUGUCCAGGUUGGAAGCGUGGGGGGAUCGGAACGGCCGUGUUGGAAAGGUGAGAGAGGGACUGCAGUUUGUAGAGGAAGGCAUGAGUACAUCUGUAUUUGUUCUGACUAAAUCUAAUUUAUACCCUGA